rnacentral:rRNA from 1 species
GAGUGAUCGAAAGAUGAAAAGCACUUUGAAAAGAGAGUUAAACAGCACGUGAAAUUGUUGAAAGGGAAGCGUUUGCGACCAGACUCGCCCGCGGGGUUCAGCCGGCACUCGUGCCGGUGUACUUCCCCGUGGGCGGGCCAGCGUCGGUUUGGGCGGCCGGUCAAAGGCCCUCGGAAUGUAUCACCUCUCGGGGUGUCUUAUAGCCGAGGGUGCAAUGCGGCCUGCCCGGACCGAGGAACGCGCUUCGGCUCGGACGCUGGCGUAAUGGUCGUAA